GACGAACGCUGGCGGCGCGCCUAACACAUGCAGGUCGAACGAGCGAGAGAGAGCUUGCUUUCUCGAGCGAGUGGCGAACGGGUGAGUAACGCGUGAGGAACCUGCCUCAAAGAGGGGGACAACAGUUGGAAACGACUGCUAAUACCGCAUAAGCCCACGGUGCCGCAUGGCACAGAGGGAAAAGGAGCAAUCCGCUUUGAGAUGGCCUCGCGUCCGAUUAGCUAGUUGGUGAGGUAAUGGCCCACCAAGGCGACGAUCGGUAGCCGGACUGAGAGGUUGAACGGCCACAUUGGGACUGAGACACGGCCCAGACUCCUACGGGAGGCAGCAGUGGGGAAUAUUGCACAAUGGGGGAAACCCUGAUGCAGCGACGCCGCGUGGAGGAAGAAGGUCUUCGGAUUGUAAACUCCUGUUGUUGGGGAAGAUAAUGACGGUACCCAACAAUGAAGUGACGGCUAACUACGUA
rnacentral:rRNA from 1 species